GAUGAACGCUGGCGGCGUGCUUAACACAUGCAAGUCUAACGAUGAAGCCCAGCUUGCUGGGUGGAUUAGUGGCGAACGGGUGAGUAACACGUGAGUAACCUGCCCUUAACUCUGGGAUAAGCCUGGGAAACUGGGUCUAAUACCGGAUAGGAGCGCCUACCGCAUGGUGGGUGUUGGAAAGAUUUAUCGGUUUUGGAUGGACUCGCGGCCUAUCAGCUUGUUGGUGAGGUAAUGGCUCACCAAGGCGACGACGGGUAGCCGGCCUGAGAGGGUGACCGGCCACACUGGGACUGAGACACGGCCCAGACUCCUACGGGAGGCAGCAGUGGGGAAUAUUGCACAAUGGGCGAAAGCCUGAUGCAGCGACGCCGCGUGAGGGAUGACGGCCUUCGGGUUGUAAACCUCUUUCAGUAGGGAAGAAGCGAAAGUGACGGUACCUGCAGAAGAAGCACCGGCUAACUACGUG
rnacentral:rRNA from 1 species